CCCAGUGCCCUGAGCAUGCCAGGCAAGCACACUACCGCCUGAGCCACAUCCCCAGCCCCCUGCCCUGGGUUCUUUCCUUGACCAGUUUGCAAACAUAUCAGAACUGAUCCAUACCUGCAAGCCCCAUCCCUCCCAGGGAGAAGCCCCAGCUUGACAGGUGCAAAGUCCAGAGUGCUGGGCCACAGGAAAUACCAGAGCCCAAGGUCUUCCCAGGACUGGCAGCUCGGAUGGCUUCAGGGGCAGAAAUAACCUGAGCCCGCUGCCCUUUCCCUCUUGGGAGUGACUCAGCUAGAAGCCSAGGACAGAAACACCACGCAGCGCCGCCUUGGCCGUGGGUUGUGUGUGGAGAGGAACAGGGGCAAUCGCAGGGGUGAGCACCGAAAAGAUGCUCAGCCUCACUGAGGGUAGGAGAAGUGCACCGAAGCCACACCACACCCCAUUGUCCACCGAGCCACUUGGCAAAGAGGAAGGCUGGUGAUGCGCCCAGUUGGCACCGGCGGGAAGAGACGCUCGGCUCCGCCACAGCGCUGUAAGCUGAUCCGUCCUCUGCGGAGGCCACCCAGCAGUGCCCACCAAGGACACAGACUUUGACCCAGCAAACCCACUUCUAGAAAGGCCACAUCCAGCUACGUGGGUGCCUUUSUGAAAUGGCCGAGCUGGGCGUGUAUACCUGAUGAAGGGCUGCAGGUGCCCUCCACCGGACGGGGUCCACACUUGGGCCAUGCGCCUGGGUGGAGCAAAGAACCAGAGCCAGGGCGGCAUGGGAGAGUCCUGAGGGCUGCAGUCACUAUGUCCCCAUGUCCACCCAGAACAUCAUCCAGACCACGGUGUAUACUGGCCUAGACCAACUGUCAGUGGGUGGCAUCAAAUUCUGAGUCCUCUGCAUSAGGUUGCUUAUUAGUCCAUGCUGAGGUUCCCCCUUGGGAAUCCCGCCUGUAAGAGUCGUCCCAGCGUCUGGGUGCCCGAAGUUCAUUGCUCUGUUACUGCGUGGUGUCUGCCGUCUGGGCCUGCCAGGGUUUGUGCAUGCGUUCAUUCACUGAAGGACAUUGGGGUUUUUCCCAGGUUUGGGUGACUGUGAAUAGAGCUGCUCUAGAUAUUUGUGCAAAGGCUUUUAUGAGAACCAAAGUUUUCAUUUUUCCAGGGCAAUGUUCUCAAUAGGAGGCAGUUGGCCCCCCGGAAGCAGCUGGCAAGCCCUCAAAGCAUUUUUGACUGUCACAAGGUGGGGGUGCUGCUGGCUCUAGAGGGUAGAGGUCGGGGAGGCAGCUCUACACCUUAGACYCAGAGGACAGCCCCAGGGCGAUCAAGGAUCUGGCCCCAAGUAUCCGUGGUGCUCAGGCUGAGGAUCCCUGCUGGGGGGGGGCACCUGGGGCUGAGCCCGCUGGUGGGUUGAGCUCUAUAGGGAAUCUACAGACCAUCUUCCAGAUGCCUCUACCCCCCCCAACACACACACACACACUUUUCUUUUUCUCCCAGGGCUCAGGGAUUGGAUGCAGCAUGCUGGGCAAGAGCUCUACCACUGAGCUUCACCCAGCCCGAGUUGACCAUGUCGCAUCCCCGACAAGCAGGCCUCUGGGUUCUGGGAGACUCUCAUCUCUGCCGGGGCCUGCUGCUGCUGUGGGUCUUCUUAUUUGAGUCAUUACAAUGGGCGUGUAAGUGAUGGCUUAUCACAGUUUUAAUUUGCAUUUCCUUAGUGGCUAAUGAUGUUGAAUA